rnacentral:rRNA from 1 species
AGAGUUUGAUCCUGGCUCAGGAUGAACGCUAGCUACAGGCUUAACACAUGCAAGUCGAGGGGAAACGAUAGAGAAAGCUUGCUUUUUCUAGGCGUCGACCGGCGCACGGGUGAGUAACGCGUAUCCAACCUGCCCAUCACUUGGGGAUAACCUUGCGAAAGUAAGACUAAUACCCAAUGAUAUCUCUAGAAGACAUCUGAAAGAGAUUAAAGAUUUAUCGGUGAUGGAUGGGGAUGCGUCUGAUUAGCUUGUUGGCGGGGUAACGGCCCACCAAGGCGACGAUCAGUAGGGGUUCUGAGAGGAAGGUCCCCCACAUUGGAACUGAGACACGGUCCAAACUCCUACGGGAGGCAGCAGUGAGGAAUAUUGGUCAAUGGACGAGAGUCUGAACCAGCCAAGUAGCGUGCAGGAUGACGGCCCUAUGGGUUGUAAACUGCUUUUAUAAGGGAAUAAAGUGAGUCUCGUGAGACUUUUUGCAUGUACCUUAUGAAUAAGGACCGGCUAAUUCCGUGCCAGCAGCCGCGGUAAUACGGAAGGUCCGGGCGUUAUCCGGAUUUAUUGGGUUUAAAGGGAGCGUAGGCCGGAGAUUAAGCGUGUUGUGAAAUGUAGACGCUCAACGUCUGCACUGCAGCGCGAACUGGUUUCCUUGAGUACGCACAAAGUGGGCGGAAUUCGUGGUGUAGCGGUGAAAUGCUUAGAUAUCACGAAGAACUCCGAUUGCGAAGGCAGCUCACUGGAGCGCAACUGACGCUGAAGCUCGAAAGUGCGGGUAUCGAACAGGAUUAGAUACCCUGGUAGUCCGCACGGUAAACGAUGGAUGCCCGCUGUUGGUCUGAAUAGGUCAGCGGCCAAGCGAAAGCAUUAAGCAUCCCACCUGGGGAGUACGCCGGCAACGGUGAA